rnacentral:rRNA from 1 species
GACGAACGCUGGCGGCGUGCCUAAUACAUGCAAGUCGAGCGAUGAUUAAAGAUAGCUUGCUAUUUUUAUGAAGAGCGGCGAACGGGUGAGUAACGCGUGGGAAAUCUGCCGAGUAGCGGGGGACAACGUUUGGAAACGAACGCUAAUACCGCAUAACAAUGAGAAUCGCAUGAUUCUUAUUUGAAAGAAGCAAUUGCUUCACUACUUGAUGAUCCCGCGUUGUAUUAGCUAGUUGGUAGUGUAAAGGACUACCAAGCCGAUGAUACAUAGCCGACGUGAGAGGGUGAUCGGCCACACUGGGACUGAGACACGGCCCAGACUCCGACGGGAGGCAGCAGUAGGGAAUCUUCGGCAAUGGGGGCAACCCUGACCGAGCAACGCCGCGUGAGUGAAGAAGGUUUUCGGAUCGUAAAACUCUGUUGUUAGAGAAGAACGUUAAGUAGAGUGGAAAAUUACUUAAGUGACGGUAUCUAACCAGAGAGGGACGGCUAACUACGUGCCAGCCGCCGCCGUAA